CUUUAUCACCGAGUGCUUGCACUCACCGAUAAAGAGUUGAGUGGCGAACGGGUGAGUAACACGUGGGCAACCUGCCCAAAAGAGGGGGAUAACACUUGGAAACAGGUGCUAAUACCGCAUAACCAUAGUUACCGCAUGGUAACUAUGUAAAAGGUGGCUAUACUACCGCUUUUGGAUGGGCCCGCGGCGCAUUAGCUAGUUGGUAGGGUAAAGGCUUACCAAGGCAAUGAUGCGUAGCCGAAUUGAGAGGUUGAUCGGCCACAUUGGGACUGAGACACGGCCCAAACUCCUACGGGAGGCAGCAGUAGGGAAUCUUCCACAAUGGGCGAAAGCCUGAUGGAGCAACGCCGCGUGGGUGAAGAAGGUCUUCGGAUCGUAAAACCCUGUUGUUAGAGAAGAAAGUGCGUGAGAGUAACUGUUCACGUUUCGACGGUAUCUAACCAGAAAGCCACGGCUAACUACGUGCCAGCAGCCGCGGUAAUACGUAGGUGGCAAGCGUUAUCCGGAUUUAUUGGGCGUAAAGGGAACGCAGGCGGUCUUUUAAGUCUGAUGUGAAAGCCUUCGGCUUAACCGGAGUAGUGCAUUGGAAACUGGGAGACUUGAGUGCAGAAGAGGAGAGUGGAACUCCAUGUGUAGCGGUGAAAUGCGUAGAUAUAUGGAAGAACACCAGUGGCGAAAGCGGCUCUCUGGUCUGUAACUGACGCUGAGGUUCGAAAGCGUGGGUAGCAAACAGGAUUAGAUACCCUGGUAGUCCACGCCGUAAACGAUGAAUGCUAAG
rnacentral:rRNA from 1 species